GAUGAACGCUGGCGGCGUGCUUAACACAUGCAAGUCGAACGGAAAGGCCCUACUUUUGUGGCGUUCUCGUGUGGAGAACGCGUGUGUAACACGCGAGUAACACGCCCCUGUCCUUCGGAUAACUUCAGGAAAAUGGGGCUCAUACCCGAUCGGAGCUUCUGCGGCCAGGUGUGGGUUGGAAAGUUUCGGCGGUUGGGGAUGGACUCGCGGCUUAUCAGCUUGUUGGUGGGGUAGUUGCUUACCAAGGCUUUGACGGGUAGCCGGCCUGAGAGGGUGACCGGCCACAUUGGGACUGAGAUAGGGGCCAGACUCCUACGGGAGGCAGCAGUGGGGAAUAUUGCACAAUGGGCGGAAGCCUGAUGCAGCAACGCCGCGUGCGGGAUGACGGCCUUCGGGUUGUAAACCGCUUUCGCCUGUGACGAAGCGUGAGUGACGGUAAUGGGUAAAGAAGCACCGGCUAACUACGUG
rnacentral:rRNA from 1 species